rnacentral:rRNA from 1 species
UUCCUACGGGAGGCAGCAGUGAGGAAUAUUGGUCAAUGGGCGAUAGCCUGAACCAGCCAAGUCGCGUGAGGGAUGAAGGAUCUAUGGAUUGUAAACUUCUUUUAUAGAGGAAUAAAGUGAGGCACGUGUGCCUUUUUGUAUGUACUUUAUGAAUAAGGAUCGGCUAACUCCGUGCCAGCAGCCGCGGUAAUACGGAGGUUCCGAGCGUUAUCCGGAUUUAUUGGGUUUAAAGGGAGCGUAGAUGGGUGGUUAAGUCAGUUGUGAAAUUU